rnacentral:rRNA from 1 species
GGGGAAUAUUGGACAAUGGGCGAAAGCCUGAUCCAGCAAUGCCGCGUGAGUGAUGAAGGCCUUAGGGUUGUAAAGCUCUUUUACCCGGGAUGAUAAUGACAGUACCGGGAGAAUAAGCCCCGGCUAACUCCGUGCCAGCAGCCGCGGUAAUACGGAGGGGGCUAGCGUUGUUCGGAAUUACUGGGCGUAAAGCGCGCGUAGGCGGCUUUGUAAGUUAGAGGUGAAAGCCCGAAGCUCAACUUCGGAAUUGCCUUUAAGACUGCAUCGCUAGAAUCAUGGAGAGGUUAGUGGAAUUCCGAGUGUAGAGGUGAAAUUCGUAGAUAUUCGGAAGAACACCAGUGGCGAAGGCGACUAACUGGACAUGUAUUGACGCUGAGGUGCGAAAGCGUGGGGAGCAAAC